rnacentral:rRNA from 1 species
CCUACGGGAGGCAGCAGUGAGGAAUAUUGGUCAAUGGACGAGAGUCUGAACCAGCCAAGUAGCGUGAAGGAUGACUGCCCUAUGGGUUGUAAACUUCUUUUAUAAAGGAAUAAAACGAGGCACGUGUGCCUUUUUGCAUGUACUUUAUGAAUAAGGAUCGGCUAACUCCGUGCCAGCAGCCGCGGUAAUACGGAGGAUCCGUGCGUUAUCCGGAUUUAUUGGGUUUAAAGGGAGCGUAGAUGGGUUGUUAAGUCAGUUGUGAAAGGUUGCGGCUCAACCGUAAAAUUGCAAUUGAUACUGGCAGUCUUGAGUACAGUUGAGGUAAGCGGAAUUCGUGGUGUAGCGGUGAAAUGCUUAGAUAUCACGAAGAACCCCGAUUGCGAAGGCAGCUUACUAAACUGUGACUGACAUUGAUGCUCGAAAGUGUGGGUAUCAAACAGGAUUAGAUACCCGGGUAGUC